UUCGGAGUAGUAAAGUGGCAAACGGGUGAGGAAUACAUGGGUAACCUACCCUUGAGAAGGGAAUAACCCGCCGAAAGGCGAGCUAAUACCCUAUACGCUACCGCCUCCAUGGGGGAGGUAGGAAAGCUAAGCCGUGGGCUUGGCACUCAAGGACGGGCUCAUGUCCUAUCAGCUUGUUGGUAGGGUAACGGCCUACCAAGGCAACGACGGGUAGCUGGUCUGAGAGGAUGAUCAGCCACACUGGCACUGAGACACGGGCCAGACUCCUACGGGAGGCAGCAGUGAGGAAUAUUGCGCAAUGGGCGAAAGCCUGACGCAGCGACGCCGCGUGGGGGAUGAAGGUUCUCGGAUUGUAAACCCCUUUCGUGAGGAAAGAGAAAGUGGGUAACCACUUAGACGGUACCUCAAGAAGAAGCCACGGCUAACUUCGUG
rnacentral:rRNA from 1 species